rnacentral:rRNA from 1 species
UACGUAGGGGGCUAGCGUUGUCCGGAAUCAUUGGGCGUAAAGCGCGUGUAGGCGGUCCGGUAAGUCCGCUGUGAAAGUCGGGGGCUCAACCCUCGGAUGCCGGUGGAUACUGUCGGGCUUGAGUACGGAAGAGGCGAGUGGAAUCCUGGUGUAGCGGUGAAAUGCGCAGAUAUCAGGAGGAACACCAAUUGCGAAGGCAGCUCGCUGGGACGUUACUGACGCUGAGACGCGAAAGCGUGGGGAGCAAACAGG